UUACAUAGUGAACUCCCAUGGUCCUUUAAUGUCCCCUUGGUUUUUACUCUGUGCUAGAGCAAUGUCUUUUCUUUACCCCUGCAUUAAAAACACAAUCAUUUUUAAUGUAUUCAUAAAGUAAACACAUCA
rnacentral:snoRNA from 1 species